GGCCGGUUGGCCCAAUGGCAAGGCGUCUGACUACGAUUCAAAUCAGUUAUCAGGAGAUUCUGGGUUCGACCCCCAGGCUGGUCA